UGGCUUGUUGUCAUGUGCUGUGUUCGUGUUUAAGAAAUUAACUCUUUGUAGUAAUAAGUUUAUUCGUAGCGCUUGUACUUACAGCCUACAAUUGCCUUUUCGUUCACUCUUAGAAUUAAGGAUGUAUUGAUAAGGUGUUCGUAUAUUGCUGAUCAUAUUUGUGCCGUCUUUUCAUGAAGCAUUUUCAAUUGUACUAGUCGUAUUAUCAACCUCUGAGGCCGAUUUUGUCGCUUGACCCUUAAUUUUCACGAGCUUCGCUGUCUUAAAGGGGGGGUUGUGUAAGGAUCAAGCCAUUUCUAGCUAACCCUAGGGUAAUAUUUGCCUCCGUAGUCUUAGUCUGUGUUCAUUAGCCGGCCAUCAGCCACUCUUGCUCUGGCCGCCAGCGCCAUAGUUCCGGUUGGGGAGACCAUCUACUAUCUGACACACCAGUGACCCGAGUUAACAGCAAGACUAUCACAGCCGUGUUACCAAGUAGGCCUAUGGAACUACGAGUCGUCUGUGCCUCUACCCGCCAUCUGUGAACCAGUCGUGUGGUCUACUUCCAGUCGUCCGUAACUCUAGUGUCUAUCGUCCGUAGCUCUACCUCCAGUCGUCCGUAACCCUACCGUCAGUCGUCCGUAACCCCAACGUCAGUCUUCCAUAACUGUACCGUCAGUCGUCUGGGAUUCUCCCGUCGGCCAACUGCACUCCUUCAUCGGAUCUUGCCUUGUUCCUAAGUUAAGUUGUCAAUUCGUUUAUAUUUCAUUAAAGUUAUUGUGUGA